rnacentral:rRNA from 1 species
GACGAACGCUGGCGGCGUGCCUAAUACAUGCAAGUAGAACGCUGAAGGAGGAGCUUGCUUCUCUGGAUGAGUUGCGAACGGGUGAGUAACGCGUAGGUAACCUGCCUGGUAGCGGGGGAUAACUAUUGGAAACGAUAGCUAAUACCGCAUAAGAGUAGAUGUUGCAUGACAUUUGCUUAAAAGGUGCACUUGCAUCACUACCAGAUGGACCUGCGUUGUAUUAGCUAGUUGGUGAGGUAACGGCUCACCAAGGCGACGAUACAUAGCCGACCUGAGAGGGUGAUCGGCCACACUGGGACUGAGACACGGCCCAGACUCCUACGGGAGGCAGCAGUAGGGAAUCUUCGGCAAUGGACGGAAGUCUGACCGAGCAACGCCGCGUGAGUGAAGAAGGUUUUCGGAUCGUAAAGCUCUGUUGUAAGAGAAGAACGAGUGUGAGAGUGGAAAGUUCACACUGUGACGGUAUCUUACCAGAAAGGGACGGCUAACUACGUG